rnacentral:lncRNA from 1 species
AUUGGGGUUUGGGGAUUGAGGAUGGAGCAGUGAGUGCAAGUAAUAUUGUGUUGAGGGUUUCUUUCUUUCUUUCUUUUGAGGGAAAAGAAGAAACUGUAGAGUGUUUUUGUUGUUAGAAGGGAAAGAGGAGAAGAGGACAACUUGGGAGGUGGGGCCACUCCAUACUUUGGUUCUUUUUUCUUUCUUCUUUUCUUCAAAAGGGUUCUGUGUUGUGCUUAUCUUUUCUUUAAAACUCACUUCAACCUUCUGAAUUCCUUCUAUGUAGGUGCCAUGUAAAAUGUAAUGGACCGAUAUUCUAAUUACUGCCGGAAGUUUGACAUGCCAUUGCCAAAGAGAAUGUGAUCUACUACAAUGCCCACAAGAUUAAAAAAGGCAGUUUAGAAGUUGCUACUGCUAAAUACCUCCAUUAUAUAAAAUCAUGUAAAUAUGUCUUUCUUUUCUUCUCUAUACAUACAUAUUCUUCAUAAAAUGACAACAAAUUCAACAUUUGCAACUUUCCUACCAAACCAAGACUUGAUGCUUUAUGGUACAUUCAUAUUUUCUUUUUAUUUUCUUAGUGGUGAUCCCAAUCAAAACUAGAUCAUAUGUGCAAACAAAUUCUCAACACCUCUACAAACUCUCAGCUAUGGCCACCAAGCUUAUUUAUCCUAGUGUUGCAGGCUUUAUAAAUGAGAACUCAUCUCCUUCUUUAGUUUGAAUUGUACUGUGGGGUUGCUCUGUUUCAGCGAUUUGUUGUAUUUCAUCUCCAUCUUUUACAUCAACAUUAAUCGAUUCACUUGUUGACGCUUGUGUAGGUGUUGCUAAUGGAUCCCCCUCGUAAUCAGAUGACUCAAGGUCCUCAUACGUAGGCACACGUAUGGAGUGUCCUGUAGUUUUAAACCGUCGCAAUGAGUGUAGAGGUGAAGCAUUUGAACUACCUCCGAGGGUUUUAGUUGCUGAGGCU